rnacentral:rRNA from 1 species
GGGGAAUAUUGCGCAAUGGGCGAAAGCCUGACGCAGCGACGCCUCGUGAGGGAUGAAGGUCUUCGGAUCGUAAACCUCUGUCAAGAGGGAAGAAACCUUUGGAUUCAAACAGGGUCUAAAGCUGACGGUACCUCAAAAGGAAGCACCGGCUAACUCCGUGCCAGCAGCCGCGGUAAUACGGAGGGUGCAGGCGUUAAUCGGAAUCACUGGGCGUAAAGCGCUCGUAGGCUGUUUGGUAAGUCAGACGUGAAAGCCCACGGCUUAACCGUGGAACUGCGUUUGAUACUGCCAGACUUGAGUGUCGGAGAGGGUGGCGGAAUUCCGGGUGUAGGAGUGAAAUCCGUAGAUAUCCGGAGGAACACCAGUGGCGAAGGCGGCCACCUGGACGACAACUGACGCUGAGGAGCGAAAGCGUGGGUAGCAAAC